CAAUGUUCUCAGGGCGGGGCGAAAUUCCCCACCGGCGGUAUACUCUUUUGAGUAAGCCCGCGAGCGCUCGAUUAGAUCGAGGUCAGCAGAUCUGGUGAGAUGCCAGAGCCGACGGUUACAGUCCGGAUGAAAGAGAAUAAGA
rnacentral:ncRNA from 2 species